rnacentral:lncRNA from 1 species
AUGUAUCCUGGUGGGACCAGCCAGGGAGACGUGUCUGGGAGAUGGAUCCUAAAGGAACCAGCCAAGAAGAUGGAUCCUGAUGGGAACAGCUGGAGAGGCAGAUCCAGCAGCGCUGUCGUUGAUCUCCACAGCACCUCCACCGGAGAGGCUGAGGGUCUUGUUUAUCACUACGGCUGGCUCUCUCCCUGCAGUCACCACCUCUUCCCUGGAUGGAUCCUGUGUGCGGGGGAGGCGGGGAGGGUAUAUGAGGGCUCGACAGGAGUGAAACCGCAGGCAAACGGAGCCCUAGCGCAUCUCUACCUCCCUUCGCUGAUCCGGGGUGCAGUGGGAGUUCAACCAGUAGCCGGGCUGGGACCAGCCGGAGCUAAGGCAGUACAAUACCCCGGCUAUGGACCCCAAGGACUGCAGCCACGACCGGGAGCUCAGAAUGGGUUUGGAGCAGGACUGGGUAUCGGGGUAAAGCUGGGCAAAGCAGGCUAUAGGGUCCCCACUGGUUACGGUGCAGGAUUAGGUGCUUAUCCCCAAGGAGCAAAACAAAAGCCAGGGUACUCCCGUGCUGUGCUGCCCCUGGGAGGUUAUAGGGUAAGACCCAUAGCUGGCAGUUACUCCACAGCUCAACAAGGGUACCCUGGAGUAGGCGGUGGGUACGUAGUCAAUGGAGCACAGCCAGGAUAUGGGAAUGGCUAUGGUGCAGGAGGGAACAGUUACCCCGGCGCUGGACUCCAGUCAGGAUAUGGCAACGGUAUGUCCAGUGGCAGAGGGAUGGGAGGGAGGAGGCGAUCCCAGGGCAGGGCUAGA